AGGCGGGAGGCGGGAGCGCGCGCCUGGGUGGCUGCUGUAGCCCUGGGUUAGCCAGAGCAGGAAGUGAACGUGCUAUGGCUCACAGGCCGAAGAGGACUUUCCGGCAGCGCCGAGCGGACUCUAGUGACAGCGACAGCACCCAGGAGCCAUUUGCUGAACCCGGGGCGCCGCGGGAGCAUGCAGACCUGGGCCCUGCGGAGGAAGGGCUGCCGUCUGGAGGAGGCCGCGCACAAGCGGCGGAACUACCACGCCGGGCCUGGGGUCGGAGCCGCGGCCGGGUCUGGGCCAGUUCCCGGCACGCCGCGAGAGCGGCUCCGCGCUUGGACCGAGGCUCGGACGUCCCAGAAUCCAGAGCGGUUGAUCUUUCAACAGACGAAGAGGAUGGAACACAUCGUUCUUCAGAAAGUAAAGAUGAUCAGAGUUCAUCUUCCAAUAGCUCUAGCUCGCUGGAAGAAGAGUUUACAUCACUAGUAAAUAUCCCUGAUGCAGCUUUUAUUCAGGCGGCCUACCGAAAAUGUGAAUUGGCCAGGGCCCAAGAGGACUAUAUUUCUUUGGAUGUAAAACAUGCCUUCACCAUCUCUGGUAUGAGGAAAAACACUGAAUAUCCUGAGAGUGAGCCUGAUGAUCAUGAAAAUAUAAUACCAUUUACCCCGAAGCUUCAAACACUUAGACAAAAGAUGGCUGAAGAAACAGCAGCCAGAAAUGAAGAAACAAGUGAAGAUAGUGAAGAAGAUAAAAAAUAUCAAGAUAUUUGGGAACAGCAGCAGAUGAGAAAAGCAGUUAAAAUCACAAAGGGACGAGACAUAGAUCUCUCUCAUAGCAGUGAAUCUCAAACAGUGAAGAAGUUCGAUGCUUCCAUUUCAUUUCCACCAGUAAAUUUAGAAAUUAUAAAGAAGCAACUAAAUACUAGAUUAACAUUACUACAGGAUACUCACCGCUCACACCUGAGGGAAUAUGAAAAAUAUAUACAAGAUGUCAAGAGCUCAAAGAGUACCAUCCAGAACCUAGAGAAUUCAUCAAAUCAAGUUCUAAAUUUUAAAUUCUAUAAAAGCAUGAAAGUUUAUGUGGAUAAUUUAAUUGACUGUCUUAAUAAAAAGAUUAUCAACAUCCAAGAAAUAGAAUCAGCCAUGCAUGCACUCCUUGUAAAACAAGCCAUGAUCUUUAUGAAACGCAGGCAAGAUGAAUUAAAACAUGAAUCAGCGUAUUUACAACAGUUAUCACGCAAAGCUGAGAUGUCAACAAAUAGAAGCUUGGCUAUGGAUGAAAAAACUCAGUGGAUUUUAGAAGAGAUUGAAUCUCGAAGGGCACGAAGAAGACAAGCAAGGGUUCUUUCUGGGAAUUGUACUCAUCAGGAAGGAACAUCUAGUGAUGAUGAACUAUCUUCAGACAUGAUUGACUUCCAAAAAAGCCAAGGUGACAUUUUACAGGAUCAUAAGAAGAUUUUUGAAGAUGUACACGAUGAUUUUUGUAAUAUCCAGAAUAUUUUAUUGAAAUUUCAACAAUGGCGAGAAAAGUUUCCUGAUUCUUAUUAUGAAGCUUUCAUUAGUUUAUGCAUUCCGAAGCUUUUAAAUCCCCUAAUACGAUUUCAGUUGAUUGAUUGGAAUCCUCUUAAGGUACAUAAGCUUAACAUGUGAAAAAAAUAAUCCUGAUCACAUUUAGUUACUUAAAUCCUCUAGUUAUCAGGUUAACUAUAAAGUACCUUACCUUUAACGUUGGAAUUGAUAAUUUGUGCUUUGGAGUAAUAGUCUGCACUCGUCUUUUCUUGGUUCUCACUCUGUUUUUAAGGCUGAGUGACACUUAACAUCAGUAAAAGAAACACUUUUUCUUUUAAAUCUUCUUCUAUGAUAAGUUUAAGAUCACUCAAAAAAGUAAAGGUAGUAUUAGACCUUAAGAAUUUUACUGUCUGUUUGAGUGAAAUUAAAAUAGGUACCAAGAGUUCUGAAGUUGGAGAUGACAUAAUGGGAAUACUUGGCUAGGAAAGCUACAAUGAAGAUGAGGAAUUUAAAUGAGGAUUUGAAGGAUAUAUAGAAUUUAAACAGGAAGACAGAGGAAGGAAAGGGUAUUUCAUAAAGGUACAUAGGGAGAAAUAUUAGUUUAGUAGAGACUGCGUAGAUCCUAAAUUAAGAGAUAUGAACUUGUUUUGAUAGGUAAUGGGAGGCGUGACAUGAUGAAGGUAAUGUUUUAGGAAGCCCUGAGCAACAGGCUAACUUGGAGGCUAGGGAGAAAGAGUUGAAGGUAUAUACUGAAAGGCUAUUGCUGUAGCCCAAGUGCAGGGUGAAGAAUUCGUCACGUGGGGUGAUAGUGACAAAGGGAAGGGAAAGAAAGUGUUGAUUACAAGGGAAGAGAAAGAAAGUGUUGAUUACAAGUGGCGUUAUGAAGUAAGAAUCAGUAAAAUACUGAGAAUAACCCUAACACAACACAUCAAAAAGAUGACCCCAAGGUUUGGAGUCUGAGUUAUUAGUACAAUGGUAGUUCCAUUCAUAAAAAUGGUGACUUUUCAGAGAGGAAAACAUUUUUGAUGGAAGUUUUACUUUAUAGACAAUGAAAUGAUGAUGGGACAUCCAUGUGGAUAUGCCUGUUAAGCAAACAGAAAUGAGAAAAUGAAACUCUAGGAAGAAAGGAGAGCUGAAAAUAAAGAUUUAACAAAGUAAAGGAUGGAUCCCUGUCGUUUUAUCUUCCUCUGCUCUAGUCAUGCAUGCCUUUAGGCUCUGUGUUAGGGCCAUGCAGUGUUCAUAGUUUAGGAGCCAAGCUUAUCCCUAAGAAAGUGGUAGGUAGUUGGUCGGAAAGCAGCCUAGUUGUUAACCACUCCAGCUGAACUGAGUACUCUGUUACAUCUAGCAAAGAUCUGUUCAUUCAGUUAUUCAGCAAAUAAUAAUUGGCCAUCUGCUCUUUGUUUAAUAAUAAGCUAAACCACAUGCAAAGUAUACAUUUGUGCCAAUGAGACUUGAGAGAGCCAGAAGUGAAUUUUGCGUGAGGUCUAAAACAGAUGCCAUG